rnacentral:rRNA from 1 species
AGUGAACGCUGGCGGCAGGCCUAAUACAUGCAAGUCGAGCGGCAGCGCGGGGGUAGCAAUACCUCUGGCGGCGAGCGGCGGACGGGCGAGGAAUACAUCGGAAUCUACCUUGUCGUGGGGGAUAACGUAGGGAAACUUACGCUAAUACCGCAUACGACCCUGGGUCGAGAGGUACGGGGUGAAAGCGGGGGAUCGCAAGACCUCGCGCGAUGAGAGGAGCCGAUGUCGGAUAGCUAGUUGGUGGGGUAAAGGCCCACCAAGGCGACGAUCCGUAGCUGGUCUGAGAGGAUGAUCAGCCACACUGGGACUGAGACACGGCCCAAACUCCUACGGGAGGCAGCAGUGGGGAAUAUUGGACAAUGGGCGAAAGCCUGAUCCAGCCAUGCCGCGUGAGUGAUGAAGGCCUUAGGGUUGUAAAGCUCUUUUACCCGGGAAGAUAAUGACGGUACCGGGAGAAUAAGCCCGGCUAACUUCGUGCCAGCAGCCGCCGCGGUAAC